UAACCCUACGGGGGGCAGCAGUGGGGAAUAUUGGGCAAUGGGCGCAAGCCUGACCCAGCAACGCCGCGUGAAGGAAGAAGGCCCUCGGGUUGUAAACUUCUUUUGUCAGGGACGGAACAAAUGACGGUACCUGACGAAUAAGCCACGGCUAACUACGUGCCAGCAGCCGCGGUAAUACGUAGGUGGCAAGCGUUAUCCGGAUUUACUGGGUGUAAAGGGCGUGUAGGCGGGAGAGCAAGUCAGAUGUGAAAUUCCAGGGCUCAACCCUGGAACUGCCUUUGAAACUGGUUUUUUUGAGUGAUGGG
rnacentral:rRNA from 1 species